GCGCUUGGGUUGACCUGAAGAUGUGAUGAACUUGUGAGGACAAAUGAAAACCCUUGGCUGGGGUUAGGAAGAACUGCUUCUGCCAGAACCCAUGUUAUGGCUGAGAUGAUCUCUGCAGAGAAAGCAUGCCGCUAUGCUAAAGCAGCAGUGAAGGCAGGGAAGUGUGCAGCCUGGAAAUAACCUGAUCAGAAGGAAGAGAGAUGCGGGUCCCUACCCAAGAAAGGAAUCAGCUGGGGAGCCGAAAGCCUGAGAGUGGGUGUAGUUGUUGGACCACUGAAGGGAAAUAGAGGUGCAGUGGCCUUAAACUGUGACUACUACCAUUAUGUUUUCACACAUUCUUAAGUACAUAAAAUCCUAAGACCCUGA